UCUACAGCGUUUCAAAAUUGAAUUCGCUCUUCAUAUCCGCUUUAAAUAAAACAUUCCCGGCGCGCAGGCACACCGCUAAAGCAGAUGGAGGUCCGCCCAUGAAAAAUUCGUUUCAACUUUUUUUCUUCUAAAGUGACUUUCCUACACGCCACUUGUAUAUAGGUAUGUAGGUAUAUAGGAGCGCGCGCCGAGUGUUUCACCGAGACUUCAUUUCACCGGCCACGCCAUCGGGAGUUGGUACACGUAAAAGAGCACGCGCGCGAUAGAUCACGGGCUUUCCCGAUUCGUGUCGUUUUUACACGUAUAUCUACCACGCCGGCCGUGCGGGACCGACGGCGUGCCUGUUUUAAACGUGGAAUGUAUUUCACUCGGACCUCCUAUAUCGGCGGACGUGCUCUCUCUCGCUCGAGAGCUGUGCCUCGUGUUUUUCCUCUCCCGAACGGUAGUCGACGUGCGGACGAUGCGAUAGCAGAGCUGGACGGUCCGCCAGAAAGUAAAACGGUUCGGGGGAUUGCGAUAUUAGAAAGUGUCUAACGUCGAGAAAAAGGAGGCGGACGUCGGCGGAAAGUGAGGAUACGAUCGUUGCGUGAAGAGAAUCAGGCGCGAUGUCCAAGUGCUGCGGCUGCAUCGGCCUCUGCGCGACUAUCGAGACGUAUCAACCUCUAAAGACCCGUAUCUACUCGUCGCGCGAUAUCCAAGAAUCGUUGAGAAACGGCCGAGAGGUUCUGAGAAGCCCGAGGGAUCGACGUAGGAAGCCUAGCGUUCGCUACGACGUCGUGAGGACUCCCGGAAAUGGCAGCGAGCCGUCAACGCCACAUCGCCAUCUGCCUGGGACUCUGCGAGGUGCCCUGAGCCAUUCUCAUAAUCAUCAGCACAACCAUCCCCAUAGACAUGAACUACCACCGUCGACGUACCUCACACCCCCACCGCCACCACCAGCAUCGAGUUACAUUACGGUGCAGCGCGGCUGCGUUCUGCAUUCGAGGCUCGACCAGCCGGUGACCAGCUCUGCGCCCGGGAUGGACAACAAAAAGAUUGUCCAAUCGAGCACGCCGCCCGCCGUACCUGUUCAGGUACGUAGCAAGCACGAUGGCUCGGGGGUGGCGGCUUCCGUAUCGGGGGUACGUAGACGGAGUGGUCCUCAGGGGGGUCUGCGUUCCCCCGCCGCGAAAAGGCCCCUCUCCGCCCCCGUUGCACUGCAGGGAUGGUUGCAUAAACAGGGCUCGGAGGGUCUCAUGCUGUGGAAAAAACGUUGGUUCGUCCUCUCCGAGUAUUGUCUCUUUUAUUACAAAGGUCCGGAAGAGGAGAAACUACUAGGUUCGAUAUUACUACCUUCGUACAGAGUUACCGUCUGCAAACCCGAAGACAAAGUCAACAAGAAGUUCGCCUUCAAGGCCGAACACGCGAACAUGAGGACUUACCAUUUCGCGGCUGACAGUCGGGAGGGUAUGAACCAGUGGGUGAACGCUCUGACUCUGGCGACGCUUCUGCAAGAUCCUAGCCCUGCGGGCGAAGCUGCAGUAGUCAUAGAAAUAGCACAGGACGGCGAACGAAGCGCUCGGCCUAGCGUCUCAUCGAUCUCGUCGAUCCUGAAUCAGAGCGCCGACGACAGCGACUCUGGUUUCCACGGCUUUCAGUCGCGCGACGACCCCAGCCAUGCCUCGAACAACAACUCCAGCCCGAACAGCGCGAACACUGCCUCCUUUCCGAACCUCAGCGGCAGCAACAGCAACGGCAAUUCCGCCAACAACAAUCACGCGAGCGACUCGGGUCAUCCGAUGAUGAACGGUUGGGUGCAACCGCCGCAGUCGCAGUACGGCCAGCCUGGCACUUUUCAGCUGCAGCAGCAACAGCAGCAGCAAUACGGGCACUUGCUGCCGUCGCAGCAACUGCAACCGGGUCAUUCGCACCAGCAUCAGGCGCUGCUUCAUCAGCAUUUGCCGCAUCAGAACGCGCUUCCGACCCAUCAGUCGUCGCAUCCGCACAAGCACGUGAUUCAACAGUCGCCGCAGCAGCAGCAGCAGCAGCAGCAACAGCAACAGCAGCAGCAGCAGCAACAACCGCCCCAGCAGCUGUCGCAUUCCGGUUCAGGCGGUGUUCAAACGAUGCAGCCUAUGCCUCGAAAAUUCGGACAGCCCAUUUACGCGAAUGCACCGCCAAAGCCUAGAAGAUUGACGGACGGCUCUAACGAGUACUCGACGCCAUCGCCGGAUAUGGACUACCGGAAGAGUCCAGUCUCGCCGGACGUCACGGUGACGAGCAAGAGUCCGAUGUCCGAUUACGAGAGGAACAACACGAUCUAUGGCACUCGGAUGAGUCAGCCGUCGCAGCAGAGUCUACGAAUCGACAAAUCGGGCCUGAAUUAUGGCUACGGCCAGACCGGCCAACCGACGGAGAGGAGGACUCCGGACACGUACGGUCGUAGUGCGAAACCGAGAACCAGCAGCAGAGGUAAUGGCGACUACGAGGAGGUCUACGGUACUCCUCAACUUUACCAGAGACCCGCGGGACCGGUCGGGUAUACCAAGGGCGCGUCGCCGGCGCCCAUCCCCAUCCCCAUGUACGCGCAACAACAGCAUCUGCAGCAGCUGCACUCUCCCAUCGCGCCGUCGAACGUGUCGAUGGUAAGGCAAUCCAGGACUCAACCGCCGCCGCGACCGCACAGCGCAGACUUUCUCGAAUACGAGGCGGCAAGGCGACCCCAGCAACAACCCGCGCAAUGCGAGAGACUCCCGGAUCAGCAGAGACGCCCGCAGAGGCCUAAAUCCAGCUUAGACAUAGUGAAUCCGUCAGACACGACCAAUGACGGUUACUUUUAUUCCGAAGAAAGAUACGCGGCGCAGAUGCGGCAGUCCGCGGUGUAUCUGCAUCAGACACCUCAACAUUCAUAUCAGCAGCAGAGGAAUCAGUCCCUCUCGCGUGUCACGAUGCAGCCGAAACUGCCAAGUAUCCGCGAUAAGACCGAAGAGAGUAGAAUGUCCACAUUGCCGGAUUCCACUUGUCCCGCGCUGAGACGCGUACAGCGAGAUCACGUUCAUCAGCAACACACGAUGCCCGCUCAGUCGCUGACGCAGAGACAUUCCGAGAUAAUGGGCGUCGAUCCGAAACUUCGAAGAUCCCUGCGCGAGAAGAGCUGCGAAGCGAACAGCCGCGAGACGCUGACACACGAGGAUAAUACCAUCCCUCGUAGAAUACCGCGCGGCGAGUAUGACGGGUGGGGAAGAGCGGCGGGUCACAGUGUUCACGGGACUCACAUCACUCAGACGUGUCACGCCGGUCACGCAGGUGCCAGCAGGCGAUGGAGUGAGCAGCAGCAGUUCUGCAGAUCGGCCUCAGCGCGUCUGCCAAGAACACGACAUCCCGCUGCCCUUGAUCCCGACGACGACGACUACGCCGAGAGGUCCUCCGAGCACGAUUCACGGGAUGGUGAACGCAAGAUUCAACAGCGCGAAGAGUCGAUGAAGCGGCUGUUGGAAUGGAAGCAGCGUAUGCUGCAAUCACCGUUGACACGAAAGCCGUCCGGCUCGGCCAAUCGAGGCAGGGCGCAAAAUGAUCUUUCGAGUUACUACAAGCAACAGGCGCUGCUGGAUUUGGCAGCGCACGAGGCCGCCGUGGCGGAGGGUCGUCACUCUCGUAGACGGGAGGACGGGCAUCGUUCGCAUGUCAGGAGCAAGAGCUCGGACGGCCGUCGGACUGCCGUCAACGUGCCACGUUACAACAGCUAUUCCAGCGAUGACGAAGAGCUGGGAGAUGUCCGGAGGAAGCGCUCGCGCAGACCCUCGCAUGCAGGAAGGAGCCCCCGGCACGCCGGCGACGAUCGGUCAUCGACGGUGACGUCGGCCGUCCAGGAUGUCACGAUACCCGGGACCGGCGGCCGCACGAGCAUUAAUCAGACCUCGCAGUCGCAAACUCUAAACGCUCGCAAAGCGAACCCGGGGAGCGCGCUCUCCUCCGUGGGUGGAAUACCGCCGGACGCAGGUUACGACGAGGUCAGCUUUUCGCCGAUGAUGAGGAACGAUUACGCGUACGCGUCGUCCUCGGCGGACAGGCAAUCGUCGUCGAGAAAAUCGGAUCUUGAGGCCGCCUUCGAAGAUCCCGCGACCAGGCACAAGACCUCGAAGAAGCCAUUAGGUAUUUUGAAGAUGUCGACCGCUUACGGUUCCGAUCAGCAGAAAUUCGAUGGACAUCAAAGUGGCAAGAUCGAGAGCAGCAGAUCGGACAAUAUGUGCGGCUACCGAGUCAACGAGUCCUGGCACGUUCAGAAGAACGUUCAGUGGGACUCGAAGGACGAUGACGAGUGGGAUCCUGGCAUCGACGAGAGCAAGGUUAUAAAAGAGUUUUCUUAUCAGUACAUUAAUCCUAGAAAAGUGCCGAUGACGUCGAAGGUGGAAGAUGAGAGCGAGAAGCUCGAGACUAUGAAUUUAGUACAAUGCAGAAUCAGAUCUUUCGAGAUGAACAUAGACGGUGCGAGUCCGGUCAAGGAGGUAUUGACCAUGCAGGAGCCGUUGAAGGUGUCACCAUUGCAGGCAACCGAGGCUCACGUUUCAAAACUCGACUGCGCGAACAAGACUUCAUCCGUUAUACGUAGCUUCGCCCUGGGUGAAAGCACUUCGGACCACGCGUCUAAACACAAGAACGUAGAAGAAGGACACGCUAAGCAAGCUUCGACCGAUAGCAACAAGUCGGUCAAAGAUCUUCUAGCGGAUUUCGAGCGGAAAUCGCAACAGAUUAACCGACCGAAGUGCGAGAAGCGACAAGAGAUGAAGCAUCGCGCAGAUUAUGACGAUACCGAAACGUUACGAUACGAUAUUGGAACUAAUCUGGACCGAAAUAGAGACGAUGAGAAGGGAAAGCUUAUAGAAAAGGACGAAUCUAUUAUGCAACGUUUUGCUUCGGACGCUCUCUAUGCUACGGGCGCUGUACAAAUGCAAAAUACUGAUGAAUCUUCGAAGAAAAGCAAGUUGACCACUUCGAAGGACAGUCUGAGUGAACAAUGUGUGCCAUCCACCGACAUGAGUAUUAUACCAAGUCCUAACUGUGCCAGAACGAGCAUAACGGAAUCUUUGUUGACGCAUAGCGAUCAAUUCUCUGCUGAUAACGAGUCGAUUAACGUUACUUCGAAGCAGGACGAUAUUAAUAAUGAGGAUCACUAUCUUCCCAUGUCUCCUAGAAAAGCCAUAUUAGAUCCGAACAGCGAUGACAGACCGAAUCCGAAAAUAAUGGAAAGUCUUUUCGCGAAUUUGGAUCACGAGGAGAGCUCGUACGUGGAGAUGGCGCAAAACGGGAUGAAUCGUUCUCUUCUGGCGCCGAACGAGGACGGCGGAAAGCACGAUUCCGGCGAUUAUUCCACGCUGGACACAUCCCAUUACGAAUUUGUCUGCGUGUCGGAUAAUAAAAUGGAACCGGUAUAUAUGGAGGUAAAUCAAUUGUCCGAGAAGGAGGACGAGGACGGGAAUAAAACGUUCCCGAUGAAAAAGAGCGGCGUUAACGAGAAUUCGCCGCAUUCCAGGGGCGAUCUGCCAGACAUCUUGACGGCGCUCAAGUCCGACAGUUCCGAUGCCGACGACGAGUCGUCUAAGGAUUUAGACUCCAUAGACGCGCCGCGACAUCCACGAUUCAGUCUGUCCGACACCUUCCGACCGGCUUCCUACUAUCUAGGAGCUAGCCGCAAUAUGAUUGCGGAAUUACACGACUCGUCGGACAGUGAGUUGGUAUCCCCACCGCCGAUACCGACUUCUCCACCACCGUUGGAUGACUUGGAUUCACUGGACAUGCAAGAAUCCUUAGAGAUAAAAAAGGUCUCACCGCAGGUGGCUACGAUGAAGGACAAUACGCUGAACCGUGACUCUCCGAAAUCUUGGAACAAGCCGGUAGGUCAAGUAGAGACGCAUAGGCCACCGUCAAGGUUUUCCGACGCAACCAUCAGCUCCACCUUCAGAGACAGCAGGAUAUCGCUGGAGAGUGCCUCCGGAAGCGAUUCGGUCGAACUGAGAAAUCCGGACGAGGAAGCUCGACAUCGACAAUUGAAGAGGAGACCCGUCAGCGACGAUGUUUGCGAAGUUCUUGACAGUCUGGACGAGUUGGAAUCGUUGGGAAGUCGCUUCGAUGGCACAAGUAUCGAUAUCGAUCGGUAUUUGGAGGAGUUGCAGGCUAGAGAUGCUUUUAACGUGGAUCUUUAUACGAAGGAUCUGAGUUACAACAGCAUCUACGGGUUCAACGAGAAUAUGCUCGUGGUCGAUAAAUUACAAAAGACCACGUGUCAAGAUCUAUCGAGGAAGAUGAAAUUAAUGUCGAGCAAUCUCGACCGGCCGUUUGAUUAUUCCGGCAAAAAUAAGACCGGCUCGGCGAGCAGCUUGCCGUCUAUGAGGGUAUCGGAUCUACCACCGACUCACCAGCACUCGCAGUCCUUCACCGGUGACGCUCAUUACGAGAACGUCGCGAGCUUCUUGCCGCUUCGCGGUUCGCCGGCGAUCCGACCCGACAGCGAGCCGCCACGCGACAAUGUUCACAGGAUGCAGAGCGGCACGUCCCAGAGCAUCGGCGCACUGCCGAUCUCUCACAGCAGGGAUUCAAGUUACUCGAACGUUUCGGUCGCGGCAUCCAUCUCGACGUCCAUGGCUUGCCAGAGGCCCGCGAGCGCGCAAUCGUCGAUGCACUCUCCCAUCAGCGCGUCCAUGUCCUCGGUGAAUCACGGCGACACCACGCUGGCGAGCAUGCUGCGGAACGUCAACGCGUACUCCGAACAAAGGUUCCCGAAUCACUCGAGGUCCGCCAGUCACGACACGUGCGUGCGACACGUGCUGCCGAAUCAUCGAUCGACUUCCAGCCAGGAUUCGAGCCAUUAUCCCAGCUCGAUGCCGACGAUGCCGAUGAUGCAAACCGCCAACUCCACAGUUCUACAGCAGUCGUAUUUGCCGAGUGCCAGCGAGCAGCGUGCCCAGAGCGAUCAAUCGGGGGCGCCCUAUUACUAUUCCGACCUCCAGGCGAGUGUCAACAGCGUGGACGUGGAGCUGAGCAAACCGAUGAUCGGUCAUACCUCGCGACUGCCACAGCUAAACAAUCAAAGGGAUGACGCGGCGAUCGGCCUGAACAAGCGGAAUGAUAUCGGUCGAAUAGUGAACCCGAUCGCGCGACAAAUGCCACGGCAAAUUCAGGUAGACGACAUAGACGAGGCUAGACGCAUCGCCGCGGAAUUGAGGCGGACAACUUGCCAAUUGUUGGGCGACAACAAGGCCGCUCUCGUGGACAAGAGAAAUGUCUACGAGGCCGACACGUUGCGCCGUGUAAAAUCUACCGAUCCGCUGCCCGAUGUAUCUCUGCCCGAGGCAAGGAACUUGUAUCCCCACGGUCUCAGAGACAAAUCUGUUAAUCCAGGCAGCGUCGAUAAUACCGAAUCGACGCACCGAAUCACACAAACGUCUCAUCGUCGGUCAAGAUCCCUAGAGGGAUUGCUCGACGACGUCGAUCUGCAAAAUUUGGUGGAGCAACGAAACCGAGCUAACCGAGCGGCAGCAGCGGCGACGACGCCGACAGCGACGACUUCGACAGAAACCAGCCAGAUCGAAACAAUGCCGCAAAACUUGCCGUCUCCCGACGAUCAUAUCGUCGCGACGGAUAGCAAUUUCAAUUCUAACGAUCCUUGGGAGCAGGACAGUCUCUGGUGCGAGAGUCUGAGAAGAGUGAGCCUGCGAAACGCCAGAUCCUUAGAUAAUCUAGAUAGUCCGCCAAGACCUGGAAGACCCAGCGACGCGAAAUCUCGCGGCAGGAUCACCCGUGGGGCGACCUACGUAAACGACAGUGUCGCUUUGCGCAGGGAUAACUGCGCGAUGGAGUCGUCUUGCGGCGAGCGACCGCGAGUCAAACGCAGAACGAACAAGGAUCACGAUCGUCAGACGCGGGAACGAUCGCUCGAUGAUGACGACGGGGAUCGUGACGGUGACAACGAUGACAACGAUGACAACGACGACGUCACCUACGAGACCUUGUCGAUGGAACUGAUCGGUGCGGGUGGUUACGUGUGGGACUCACAGAACGAGGCCUACCGCAAGCCCACCGCUUCGGACAGGAAUCAUUUUUUAGAGGACGGCAACCUUCCCCCGGCUCGCUCGAUCCCGGACGUCCGAAUGUCCGCGACGUCGUUCGAGCUCGACCGAGAGAAGCUCCGCCAAUGGGAUUUGUUGUCGAGCGCCUGCUUACUCCAGGAGCAGCAGCGCACCUCGAUGGCGGACUCGGGGCGAGGGUUGCCGGUCAUGGAACUACCUGGAGACGCGCACGAUUCUCGGCUCGCCGUCGUCGCGGCGAUGACGAACGCGACGGCAACGGCGACGGCGACGGCGGUAACAACGACAACGACACCGACGGCGACGAUGACGACGACGAUAAUGACAAUGGGCACGGGGAUCGACAGCGAGCGAGUAGACGUUAUCGUAAAGCCAGUCGAUAUCGCGGAUGUACGCGAUGUCGUGCAGACGAAGGUGCCGAUCAAGAGGCAGGAACUGAGGCAGGAGCCGUGUAAACGGGCUGCAGCGUCCGGCUCGGGGUCCGUGAUAGGCAGAGACCCGCUUCCGCCCAGAGCCGUCAGUACGUCUCAUCUGCCUCAAAGAACGCUGACUCAACCGCCAACGGCGGUGUCCACUCUUCCGCUACCGAGAAACAGUGCGGGCAGCAGCAGCAGCAGCAGCAGCAGCCACCGGCAACAACCGCUUCCGCUUCAUCGCUCGACUCCGCAGCAGCUAACGCCUAUGAGACAGCUGGAGAGCGAGCCCACCGCCCAGAUGCUGAGGGCCGCGAGCAACGGCGACAUCGGCAAGUGCCCCGGCAUGGUUACCGGUAACGACGUGAGGGACCUGAGACUGGCAUCGCCGGGCGGUCAUUCCACUCAGCGAUUGAUCAGCCCGAUCGGACACUUGCGGGUCGCUUCGUUAAACGACCACCGCGUCUCCAGUCCCAGCGACAGCGAGAUACGCGUGCACAGUCCAAGCGAGAGAAAAAUGAUGAGUCCAAUCGGCAGGGAGGUCGAUCGUGGCGGGGGCACGAUGAGUCCGAUGAGACAAGGACAACAGCAGCAGCAGCAGCAGCAGCAGCAGCAGCAGCAGCAGCAACAACAACAACGGCCACGCGCAGACUGCACCGAGAUGCUGUACAAAAGGGCUAGAUUGGCGGAUCUCGACACGCCGAGACGGCUGGAGAAUCUUCAAAAACUCGAGGAACUCAAGAGACACCUGAUGGAUCUCGAGAAGCAGUACGAGAAGAGCAAGCCUCUCGUGAACCUCGUGGACAACAUGGUGAAGCUGGGAUCUUUGUAUAAUCGUAACACUGCCAACGGGACCAGCAAUGUUUCCGGUUCUCGCUACGACCUGAUGCAUGAGAACGCGAGGGAUCACCGAGAUCGUUUGGAAUUUAAUCAAAGAGUACAAGAGCAACGAUUGUUGGCUGAGGAGCGCAGGGAUUGGGACAGACUUAGUCCCGAUCAUGGACAGCUACAGGCCAAAGUACAGCAGCUCUACAAACUCGAUCGACUACUCCAGGAGGAAUCUGGCACGCUCCAUAGUCUCCAACAAGACAAGGAAAUACUGGAGAAGGCUUUGGGCGGGUUGCGGCAUAAACUGCAAGGUAGCAGAAGCAAUUUGGCCGAAGCCGAACGAUAUCGGAAGCAGCAACUCCUGUUGGAGCGCGAGCUGAGCAGAGUGAGAAUACUGCUCGCUCAUAACUCGAAGGUAAAACCGGUAUUCUUCCAGAAACUCGAGGAAACGGUGGCCGAAAAUGCGAGAUUGGAGCAGGAUUUGGUGGUAUUGAGACAAAAGGUUCAAGCGUCCAGAAGAUAUGCCGGUAACAUCGCGAGGGACACCUCGAGCACGACCGCACCUCUGGAAGCGGAAUUACGACGAGUGCAACAACUCGUCGGCGAUCUGCAGAGACAGAGGAAGGAACUGAGCAUUCAAGUUCGCCAACUGACGGAGAAAUCUCACAGUUUGGUGCAGCAAAUUCGUCCGCAGCCACCGCACGCUCCACAGGUACAUCACUCGAAGAAACGUACGCAAAAUUCCUGGUUAGAAACCGAUUUGGAUUCCGGAAUAACUCUAGAUCACGGUCUAGACUCGCCGUCGAGUCCGUCUCUAUCCAUCUCACCUCCGAACAAACAAAAUGAUAGCUCUCAUCAACGAUACAGUUCUCCUACACAGUACAAGGACUUAUCUCCAUUAAAUCGUCCACAUAAUCAGCAAUCCUUUGGACAACCCUCGCAAAAUCACAUAUCGGCUCUCUCACCACAACUGCGCGAACAGAUUCAACAACACCAAUUAAAGCAACAAUUAUUAAAGGAUCAAAUGCAAGGCAAGGGUAGCACGAUUCAAGUGGCGCCUCUGUACGUUAAUACGGAUUCAAGAGUAGCAGAGGAUUACGUCACCGACACGAGCAAGCAUAACGGAAAUGUGUUGAAUGGCACGCCAAAUCCUGCUCCGGAAUACAUCCCACCGCCGCCGCCUCCUUUAAGCGAGGAGGCAUUGUUGUUGAACGAUAAUUAUAGACAAAACGAGGACAACAAAUUCGCUGGAUUAAUGCACGGUCGCGAGAAGCAAGAGAUCAAGACGGUGCGCAUAGUGAAACGCGAAUCGGAAAGGCGGCAAAGGGACCGUGGCGACAGAACCGGCAAUAUCGGAAUUCCUUUGAUGAACGGUCUGCAAGCACCGGGUGGAGCAAAAAGACUGUGCGACGAUGAUUUCGGAGGUUCCCAAAAAUUCGAAAAAGCUCAGCUGGGCAGAGUGGUAGAAGAAUCGCCAAUCGUUCACGCACAGAGCACCGUUCAGCUGUCCGAACUGGAUGACGUUCAAUUCCAAAGGAGCAUGUCUCUGCCACGCGGUUUCGGUGGGCAAAAACAACACUCCGGGGUACACUAUGGACCCGUGAUGCCUCCACCGCGCAGCGACAGCAUGCACGCUCUGAAGAGCAUGAUGGCGCGUCGACAUAAAAUCAGGUUCGAAAGUCACGACGGCAGCUCGGAUAGUACUCUGUCACCGUAUACGGACAGUCCUACAUCCAGCUCUCACGUGCCGAUGAGUUCGCCCAACUACUCCACCGCCUCGUCGUAUAGUCCAUGCCAGAGCCAGAAUUAUCCGUCGCAAGUGACGACGGUAGCUGCGCAGCCUCACUAUCACAACUACUCGCUCGGAUCGUACAGGCAAUACGAGAAAAUCGGCACUCUCGCGGAUGCCAUGAGCCCCGAAUUAACGUCGCCGACUAAUGUCGGCAUACACGAGAGACCAGUCGCUGCGACGACGGCGAACGCAAAUCAGUCAGAAUCGCCGCAAUUAUCGCCUGUAUUCAAGAGCGAGGCUGCCAAACAGAUUAUCAAAGAGAUGACAGAAAAGAGGGUGGAGGGUCCGAGACGAAGGCAGAUUCCUCGCGAGAAAAGACGGCAUUACACCGUGUCUAGUAGCAAACCGGUGCUCGACCUAGAGGACACUUUCUCGAAGAUGGGUAUGGGCAGAGCCAGGGAUGAUUUAGAUAUGGAAAGAGCGCUCAGACCCAGGAUAAACGCCCCUGACGUGGUACGAUCGACAUUAAGCCACAAGGAAUUGAAGUAUAACGAGAGUACUAUAGAUCAGUUGCUAGGCACGCCUAAUAAGAUUGUCAUUCCCGAGCGAUAUAUUCCUGAACAGACGCCGGAGUUAACAGCGGAAGAACAGGAGCAACGCUUAAAAAAAGCAGAAGCAAUCAGGAAAAUGCUUUCGGAAACAACCGUGACCGCACCGGAAGGAGGUGAUGAUGAUUCUAACGUAGAAAAAUCAGACACCUUGAAACGCAAAGUGGUGGAAGAAAAACGACAGAGGGAGCACAUUCUCCAGCUUAAUCAGAUAUUGGCAAAGCAAGUGAUGGAGAAAAGCAAAAUGGUAGCGGGUAACCAGGCACAUUGACUGACAUGCUUACUCCAUCCCUCCUUAUAGGACACGCACGUCACGUUAUCAUUUUCAGUAAAAGCUCUGGCGACGCUUCCUCU
rnacentral:misc_RNA from 1 species